AUGACUUAGAGCAUGUGCACUGCGUUCGGGACGCAGGGGUCGCAGGUUCGAAUCCUGCCACUCCGACCA
rnacentral:tRNA from 1 species